GGCCUGACAGGCACCCGAAAUUAGUAGGGUGAAGGAGAAGAUCCCUGGCUGCCAAGAAAAGCCACUAAGAGAGAUGAGCAUGUGACCGUACCGCAAACCGACACAGGUGGGCGAGGAGAAAAUCCUAAGGCGCUCGAGAGAACCCACGUUAAGGAACUAGGCAAAUUGACUCCGUAACUUCGGGAGAAGGAGUGCUCUGGUAGGGUGACGGGAACGUAUUAGCAAUGAUGCGUCGAACGGUAGCCCGAGAGAGUCGCAGAGAAUAGGCUCAGGCGACUGUUUAUCAAAAACACAGGACUCUGCUAAGGCGAAUAGCCGACGUAUAGGGUCUGACGCCUGCCCAAUGCUGGAAGGUUACGGGGAGGGGUCAGGAGGAGUAAUCCUCCGAAGCUCCGAACUUAAGCCCCAGUGAAUGGCGGCCGUAACUAUAACGGUCCUAAGGUAGCGAAAUCCCUUGUCGGGUAAGUUCCGACCCGCAUGAAUGGCGUAACGGUCUGAGCACUGUCUCAACGUGGGGCUCGGCGAAACUGUGAACUGGGUGAAGACGCCCAGUAUCCGCAUCAGGACAAAAAGACCCCGUGGAGCUUUACUGUAGCUUGAUAUUGACUUUUGGCCUUAUAUGUAGAGCAUAGGUGGGAGACUAUGAAACUAGGGCGCCAGCCUUGGUGGAGUCAACAGUGGAAUACCACCCUUAUGAGUCUGGAAUUCUAACUUGCGCCCGUUGAUCCGGGCGAGGGACAGUGUCAGGCGGGCAGUUUGACUGGGGCGGUCGCCUCCCAAAAAGUAACGGAGGCGCCCAAAGGUUCCCUCAGCGUGAUUGGAAACCACGCGCAGAGUGCAAAGGCAAAAGGGAGCUUGACUGUGAGGCAAACGAGCCGAACAGGGACGAAAGUCGGGCUUAGUGAUCCGGUGGUUCCGCAUGGAAGGGCCAUCGCUCAACGGAUAAAAGCUACCCUGGGGAUAACAGGCUUAUCUCUCCCAAGAGUCCAUAUCGACGGGGAGGUUUGGCACCUCGAUGUCGGCUCAUCACAUCCUGGGGCUGUAGCAGGUCCCAAGGGUUGGGCUGUUCGCCCAUUAAAGUGGUACGUGAGCUGGGUUCAGAACGUCGUGAGACAGUUCGGUCCCUAUCCAUCGCGGGCGUAAGAGAUUUGAAGGGAGCUGCUCCUAGUACGAGAGGACCGGAGUGGACGAACCAAUGGUGUACCAGUUGUUCCGCCAGGAGCAUAGCUGGGUAGCUACGUUCGGAAAGGAUAAACGCUGAAAGCAUCUAAGCGUGAAACCAGCCUUAAGAUGAGGUCUCUCAUAGAGUAAUCUAGUAAGGCCCCUUGUAGAUCACAAGGUUGAUAGGCCAGGUGUGGAAGUCCAGCAAUGGAUGUAGCUGACUGGUACUAAUAGGCCGAGGGCUUGACUUA
rnacentral:rRNA from 1 species